GCCAGAGCAGAGUCAGGGAACAGGUGACGGAGCAUCCUGGACUGGAGGCUGCGUGCUACAUACCUGCAAAGGUUUGUGAAAGUUUUUGCUCUUGUGGGAGGUCUAGACAGCGGUUGACACCUGUGUUGGGCAGCGGCCUCCUAGAAGGGCAACAGACCCUGGACGGCUGAAGGGAUGUUCGUAUGGAGCGCGGCACUGUGGAAGUUGAGGUCCAGUGAGGUGAACACACCAGAAAACUCCUUUCUUGGUUGACCAAGUCUUUCCUCCUCCAAACCCUGAUCUUGGGACCACAAGGGAAGGAGACUGCGCUGAGUCAAGCAAGGGGCGACAGCUGCGUGUCCUUGUCUUAUCAGACAAGCUCGCCAGCAUGGGAUGCAGCUGUAACUCCUGGUAGUGAACAUUGUCCACUUGCCCUGAGUCCACCUUAUCUGGAUGAAGGAGGCCGAGGAGAGGCAUCUGCCGGCACAAGCCAUGGACAUUAGAAUCACUGGCUACAAACAUGGAGCGACAAGUGCAGAACUUCAGAGAAGCUGACCCCGUGGAGGGUCCCAGAGGUCAGGCUCCAUCCAGAGAACACGUGACGCUCCUAUUCCCCUUCCUUGACCUUUGUCCUGCACAUCUCUUCUUCUGUAUUUUUGUCACCUUCUUUGUAAUAAAUUAGAAAGCCUGA